rnacentral:misc_RNA from 1 species
CGCACAUUGCGCCCCUUGGUAUUCCAUGGGGCAUGCCUGUUCGAGCGUCAUUUGUACCCUCAAGCUCUGCUUGGUGUUGGGCGUUUUGUCUUUUAUUAGACUCGCCUUAAAGUAAUUGGCAGCCAGUGUUUUUGGUAGUAAGCGCAGCACAAUUUGCGUCUUGGUCCCUAAACAGUGGCAUCCACAAAGCCUCUUUAUCACUUUUGACCUCGGAUCAGGUAGGGAUACCCGCUGAACUUAA